UUAGGGGAGAGGAACUUACAAAGAAGGUGAUUGCUCUUGCUAUUAUAACCUUUAAGGUAGUUCAGAGAAGGUGCCGUGCCCCUCCUUUUUCCUUGAUAUGGACUUUCCACCACCCACCCAACACCACUUCCAUUCAAGUAAGCACUGGAGAUACAGGUCAUGAUAGGUUCCAAGUUGUUUUCUGGUUCACACUUAUAGCGGUGAGAAUGGUCCUGUUUCGACACGGUCAGACCAUCAGUAUUCAGUCCCGACUGAGAGUAUUGAUCUCUUCCUUGUACAGCGACGAGAGCUGUGGAUACGCCACUAACGGAUUGGAUCCAUAAGAUAAAUUUGCGGGGUCUGGCAUAUCGAUAAUGUCAUAGAAAAAUAGCCCACAGAUUUCAUUACACUGCAUAUUUUAAGAUCAUAUCGGGAAUUCAUAAUACCAUGGCCCCGCUUUUGUACUCGUCUAGGUGGAUAUUGUGUCGUUAUGACAGACAUUUGCUCAAUUCUUUUUUUGUUGGUGAAAACUUCUGCGCGCGGUCCAUAUCCAUGCAUGCUCGAUGUGGAUAGUUGUUCGACUUGUGCGUGCUGACAGGCGGGGCAGACAAGAUUUAGUCGCGAUAGAGCAGACACAUUUUAGUAUUAUGACAAAAUAUAAAUAGAACUGCCAAUUUUUAGGGUGCAAACACAUCUCAUGAAAUAUAAGGUAAAUUACACUGGUGGUCCAAAAAAUUUUAAUAAUGUAUCAAGUUCGUCUAAAAA